rnacentral:lncRNA from 1 species
CCACUGAGCACCUUGUGACCCCCGCCCCUACCCACCAGAGAACAACCCCCUUUGACUGUAAUUUUCCAUUACCUUCCCAAAUCCUAUAAAACGGCCCCACCCCUAUCUCCCUUCACUGACUCUCUUUUCAGACUCAGCCCACCUGCACCCAGGUGAAAUAAACAGCUUUAUUGCUCACACAAAGCCUGUUUCGUGGUCUCUUCACACUGACGUGCAUGAAAUUUGUUGCCAUGACUUGGAUCGGGGGACCUCCCUUUGGAGAUCAAUCCCCCAUCCUCCUGCUCUUUGCUCCGUGAGAAAGAUCCACCUAUGACCUCAGGUCCUCAGACUGACCAGCCCAAGAAACAUCUCACCAAUUUCAAAUCCGGUAAGUGGCCUCUUUUUACUCUCUUCUCCAACCUCCCUCACUAUCCCUCAACCUCUUUCUCCUUUCAAUCUUGGCGCCACACUUCAAUCUCUCCCUUCUCUUGAUUUCAAUUCCUUUCAUUUUCUGGUAGAGACAAAGGAGACACAUUUUAUCCAUGGACCCAAAACUCCGGCGCCGGUCACGGACUGGGAAGGCAGCCUUCCCUUGGUGUUUAAUCAUUGCAGGGAUGCCUCUCUGAUUAUUCACCCACGUUUCAAAGGUGUCAGACCACACAGGGAUGCCUGCCUUGGUCCUUCACCCUUGGCGGCAAGUCCUGCUUUUCUGGGGGAGGGGUAAGUACCCCAACCCCUUCUCUCCAUGUCUCUACCCCUUCUCUGAUUUUCUGGGGCAGGGGCAAGUACCCCUCAACCCCUUCUCCUUCAGCCUUAGUGGCAAGUCCCUCUUCUCUGGGGGAGGGGCAAGUACCCCAACCCCUUCUCUCUGUGUCUCUACCCCUUCUCUGCUCUUCUGGGGCAGGGGCAAGAACCCCUCAACCCCUUCUCCUUCACCGUUAGUGGCAAGUCCCACUUUUCUAGGGUGCAAGAACCCCCAAUACCUUAUUUCCAUGCCCCAACCCUUUCUCUGCUUUUCUGGAGGGCAAGAAACCCCCAGCCCUUCUCCAUGUCUCUACUCUUUUCUCUGGGCUUGCCUCCUUCACUAUGGGCAACCUUCCAUUCCUCCUUCUCCCUUAGCCUGUGUUCUUAAGAACUUAAAACCUCUUCAACUCUCACCUGACCUAAAAUCUAAGCGUCCUAUUUUCUUCUGCAAUGCCACUUGACCAAAAUACAAACUUGACAGUAGUUCCAAAUAGCCGGAAAACAGCACUUUCAAUUUUUCCAUCCUACAAGAUCUAAAUAAUUCUUGUUGUAAAAUAGGCAAAUGGUCUGAGGUGCCUGAUGUCCAGGCAUUCUUUUACAUAUCAGUCCCUUCCUAGUCUCUGUGCUCAGUGCAACUUGUCCCAAAUUUUCCUUCUUUCCCUCCCGCCUGUCCCCUCAGUCCCAACCCCAAGCGUCGCUGAGUCUUUCUAAUCUUCCUUUUCUACAGACCCAUCUGACCUCUCCCUUCCUUGCCAGGCCAAGCUAGAUCCCAAUUCUUCCUCAGCCUCCAUUCCUCCACCCUAUAAUCUUUGUAUCACCUCCCCUUCUCACACCUGGUCUGGCUUACAGUUUUGUUCCGUGACUAGCCCUCCCCCACCUGCCCAGCAAUUUACUCAAAAAGGUGGCUGGAGCCAAAGGCAUAGUCAAGGUUAAUGCUCCUUUUUCUUUAUCCCAAAUCAGAAGCGUUUAGGCUCUUUUUCAUCAAAUAUAAAAACCCAGCCCAGUUCAUGGCUCAUUCGGCAACCCUGAGACGCUUUACAGCCCUAGAUCCUAAAAGGUCAAAAGGCCGUCUUAGUCUCAAAAUACAUUUUAUUACCCAAUCUGUUCCCAACAUUAAAUAAAACUCCAAAAAUUAAAUUCUGGCCCUCAAACCCCACAACGGGAUUUAAUUAACCCCAUCUUCAAGGUGUACAAUAACAGAAAAAAGUUGCAAUUCCUUGCCUCCACUGUGAGACAAACCCCAGCCACAUCUCCAGCACACAAGAACUUCCAAACGCCUGAACUGCAGCAGCCAGGCGUUCCUCCAGAACCUCCUCCCCCAGGGGCUUGCUACACAUGCCGGAAAUCUGGCCACUGGGCCAAGGAAUGCCUGCAGCCCGGGAUUCUUCCUAAGCCACGUCCCAUCUGUGUGGGACCCCACUGAAAAUCAGACUGUUCAACUCACCUGGCAGCCACUCCCAGAGCCCCUGGAACUCCGGCCCAAGGCUCUCUGACUGACUCCUUCCCAGAUCUUCUCGGCUUAGCGGCUGAAGACUGCUGCUCGGUUGCCUCGGAAGCCCUAUAGACCAUCACGGAUGCUGAGCUUUAGGUAACUCUCACAGUGGAAGGUAAGCCCGUCCCCUUCUUAAUCAAUAUGGAGGCUACCCACUCCACAUUACCUUCUUUUCAAGGGCCUGUUUCCCUUGCCUCUGUAACUGUUGUGGGUAUUGAUAGCCAGGCUUCUAAACCUCUUAAAACUCCCCAACUCUGGUGCCAACUUAGACAAUACUCUUUUAAGCACUCCUUUUUAGUUAUCCCCACCUGCCCAGUUCCCUUAUUAGGCCGAGAUAUUUUAACCAAUUAUCUGCUUCCCUGACUAUUCCUGUAUUACAGCUGCAUCUCAUUGCUGCCCUUCUUCCAAAUCCAAAGCCUCCUUUGAGUCCUCCUCUUGUAUCCCCCCACCUUAACCCACAAGUAUAAGAUACCUCUACUCCCUCCUUGGCGACCGAUCAUGCACCCCUUACCAUCUCAUUAAAACCUAAUCACCCUUACCCCGCUCAAUGCCAAUAUCCCAUCCCACUACAUGCUUUGAAAGGAUUAAAGCCUGUUAUCACUCACCUGCUACAGCAUGGCCUUUUAAAGCCUAUAAACUCUCCUUACAAUUCCCCCAUUUUACCUGUCCUAAAAUCAGACAAGCCUUACAAGUUAGUUCAGGAUCUAUGCCUUAUCAACCAAAUUGUUUUACCUAUCCACCCCAUGGUGCCAAACUCAUAUAGUCUCCUAUCCUCAAUACCUCCCUCCACAAUCCAUUAUUCUGUUCUGGAUCUCAAACAUGCUUUCUUUACUAUUCCUUUGCACCCUUCAUCCCAGCCUCUCUUCGCUUUCACUUGGACUGACCCUGACACCCAUCAGGCUCAGCAAAUUACCUGGGCUGUACUUCCGCAAGGCUUCACAGACAGACCCCAUUACUUCAGUCAAGCCCAAAUUUCAUCCUCAUCUGUUACCUAUCUCAGCAUAAUUCUCGUAAAAACACACGUGCUCUGCUCUCCCUGCUGAUCGUGUCCGAUUAAUCUCUGAAACCUCAGUCCCUUACAAAACAACUCCUUUCCUUCCUAGGCAUGGUUCGUGCGGUCAGAAUUCUUACACAAGAGCCAGGACCGCACCCUGUAGCCUUUCUGUCCAAACAACUUGACCUUACCGUUUUAGCCUAGCCCUCAUGUCCGCGUGCAGUGGCUGCCACUGCUUUAAUACUUUUAGAGGCCCUCAAAAUCACAAACUAUGCUCAACUCACUCUCUACAUUUCUCAUAACUUCCAGAAUCUAUUUUCUUCCUCAUACCUGAUGCAUAUACUUUCUGCUCCCUGGCUCCUUCAGCUGUACUCACUCUUUGUUAAGUCCCACAAUUACCAUUGUUCCUGGCCCGGACUUCAAUCCAGCCUCCCACAUUAUUCCAGAUACCACACCUGACCCUCAUGACUGCCUCUCUCUGAUCCACCUGAUGUUCAUCCCAUUUCCCCACAUUUCCUUCUUCCCUGUUCCUCACCCUGAUCACGCUUGAUUUAUUGAUGGCAGUUCCACCAGGCCUAAUCGCCACACAUCAGCAAAGGCAGGCUAUGCUAUAGUACAAGCCACUAGCCCGCCUCUUAGAACCUCCCAUUUCCUUUCAAUUGUGGAAAUCUAUCCUCAAGGAAAUAACUUCUCAGUGUUCCAUCUGCUAUUCUACUACUCCUCAAGGAUUAUUCAGGCCCCCUCCCUUCCCUACACAUCAAGCUUGAGGAUUUGCCCCCGCCCAGGACUGGCAAAUUAGCUUUACUCAACAUGCCCCGAGUCACAAAAACUAAAAUACCUCUUAGUCUAAGUAGACACUUUCACUAGAUAGGUAGAGGCCUUUCCUACAGGGUCUGAGAAGGCCACUGCAGUCAUUUCUUCCCUUCUGUCAGACAUAAUUCCUCAGUUUAGCCUUCCCACCUCUAUACAGUCUGAUAACAGACCAGCCUUUAUUAGUCAAAUCAGCCAAGCAGUUUUUCAGGCUCUUAGUAUUCAGUGACAGACUAAUGGUCUAUUAAAAACACACCUCAACAAGCUCAGCCACCAACUUAAAAAGGACUGGACAAUACUUUUACCACUUUCCCUCCUCAGAAGUCAGACCUGUCCUCAGAAUGCUACAAGGUACAGCCCAUUUAAGCUCCUGUAUAGACGCUUCUUUUUAUUAGGUCCCAUUCUCAUUCCAGACACCCGACCAACUUAGACUGUGCCCCCAAAUAACUUGUCAUCCCUACUAUCUUCUGUCUAGUCAUACUCCUAUUUGCCGUUCUCAACUACUCAUACAUGCCCUGCUCUUGUUUACACUGCCGGUUUACACUGUUUCUCCAAGCCAUCACAGCUGAUAUCUCCUCGUGCUAUCCCCAAACUGCCACUCUAAACUCUUGAAGUAAAUAAAUAAUCUUUGCUGGCAGGACUAUGCUGAACCUCCUUAGGCACUCUCUAAUCAGAUGUCCUAGGUCCUCCCAAUUCUUAGUCCUUUUAUACCUGUUUUUCUCCUUUUCUUAUUCCAUUUAGUUUUUCAAUUCAUACAAAACCAUAUCCAGGCCAUCACCAAUAAUUCUACACGACAAAUGUUGCUUCUAACAACCCCACAAUAUCACCCCUUACCACAAGAUCUCCCUUCAGCUUAAUCUCUCCCACUCUAGGUUCCCACGCCGCCCCUGAUCCCGCUUGAAGCAGCCCUGAGAAACAUUGCCCAUUCUCUCUCCAUACCACUCCCCAAAAUUUUCGCCGCCCCAAUACUUCAACACUAUUUUGUUUUAUUUUUCUUAUUAGUACAAGAAGGCAGGAAUGUCAGGCCUCUGAGCCCAAGCCAAGCCAUCGCAUCCCCUGUGACUUGCACGUAUACGCCCAGAUGGCCUGAAGUAACUGAAGAAUCACAAAAGAAGUGAAAAGGCCCUGCCCGGCCUUAACUGAUGACAUUCCACCAUUGUGAUUUGUUCCUGCCCCACCUUAACUGAGUGAUUAACCCUGUGAAUUUCCUUCCCCUGGCUCAGAAGCUCUCCCACUGAGCACCUUGUGACCCCCGCCCCUGCCCACCAGAGAACAACCCCCUUUGACUGUAAUUUUCCUUUACCUUCCCAAAUCCUAUAAAAGGGCCCCACCCGUAUCUCCCUUCGCUGACUCUCUUUUCGGACUCAGCUCACCUGCACCCAGGUGAAAUAAACAGCUUUAUUGCUCACACAAAUCCUGUUUGGUGGUCUCUUCACACGGAUGUGCAUGAAAUAAACCAUGUUUGAUGAACCCAGAUGAGCAAUCUGUUGAUCUGAGAAAAGGAGUUUACUUGAAUGAAAGCUAGUGUUGUUUGGAUAAAUGGACAUUGGGAAGUUCCUGAAACAAUCACGUGAUCUGCAACUUUAUCUUCCUGAGCCAGGGUUUUCUGGAAGAGUGAUGCCCUGUAGCUGCAGACAGUGAGCUGUGUGGUUGAGAUAGUUUGAAUGCUGGGGGCUAUUUCAGUUGGUGUGGUCAGGGAAGGCCUCCUAGUUGAUGAAACCUUAGUAGAGGUCUGACUGUUGUGAAGGGUGAGCUGUGAGCAGUUCUAGGAAAUUCAGCAUUCUAGCCAGAGAGAAGAGUCAGGGCAAAUCCCUUGGCAUGGGAAGGAUUUUGAGUGUUGGAGGACUAGCAAGAGAAGCAGGAUGGCUGGGGAAACCAUUGAGCAAGGGGGAGGUUACUUGGAGAUUAGUCAAUACCUUCCCAACACUAGGAAGAGUUUGGAUUGAAUUCUAAGGGAUAUGGGAAGUCACUGAUGGUUUUAAAAAGAGGAGUUAUCUGAUUUAGAGGGUUAAAUGACCACUUUGGCAGGAAGACCAGUUAGGAGGCUUUUGUAGUAGUCCAGGAGAGGGCAGGUGGCUUGGUCUUUGGUCAUAGCAAUGGAGGUGAUGAGAAGUCAGUGGUGUACUAGGAGUUAUCCUUGACUCCUCUUUUCCCAAACAUCUCACAUUCAAACUAUCUACCUUCAAAAUAUAACUCCUAGUAUUUUGACCGGAAUAACUGAUUGAAAAGCUAUUCCAUGUUGUUAUGGACUGUGUGUGUUCUCCCAAAAUUCAUAUAUUGAAGCCUAUAUCCCAGUGUGACUAUAUUUGGAUACAAGGCCUCCAGAAAGGUAAAAUUAAGGAUAUAUGGGGUCAUAGGAUAGGAUUCUAGUUUAGUAGCACUGGUGUCCUUAUAAGAAGAAGGGACACCAGACAUCUCUUUCUUUCUAUUCACAGACUAAGGAAAAGCUAUAUGAGGAUACAGCAAGAGGGCAGCCAACUACAUUCCUGGAAGACAGCCCUGAAACCAACACUGAUGGCACCUAGAUCUUAACUUCUGGCAUCUGGAACUGUGAAAAAAUAAAUUUCCAUUGUUUAAGCCAUGCAGUCUGUGGUAAUGUUUUAUGGCAUCUCUAGCAAAUUAAUAUACCAUGUAAUAGUAUGUAGAAAACUGUGGAAAGAGUAGAUUUGGG